rnacentral:rRNA from 1 species
GAUGAACGCUGGCGGCGUGCUUAACACAUGCAAGUCGAGCGAGAAGUUUUGAAAUGAUUCUUCGGGUGAAAUUUACAAUUGAAAGCGGCGGACGGGUGAGUAACGCGUAGGCAACCUGCCCCAUACAAAGGGAUAGCAUUUGUAAACGAAUAUUAAUACCUUAUGAAACUUAACUAGUGCAUGCUAGGUAGGUCAAAGAUUUAUCGGUAUGGGAUGGGCCUGCGUCUGAUUAGCUAGUUGGUGAGGUAACGGCUCACCAAGGCGACGAUCAGUAGCCGACCUGAGAGGGUGAACGGCCACAAUGGAACUUAGACACCGUCCAAACUCCUACGGGAGGCAGCAGUGGGGAAUAUUGCACAAUGGGGGAAACCCUGAUGCAGCCACGCCGCGUGAAAGAAGAAGGCCUUUGGGUCGUAAAGUUCUGUUCUAGGUGAUGAAAACUGACAGUAACCGAGGAGAAAGCCCCGGCUAACUCCGUG